CUGCAGCCAAUUAAGCCGGUCGUGGCCCCCCCGCCGUGGGGUCCCGGCGUGCACUGGCUGCGCACAGCAAAACCCCCCCCGGCUGUGUAGGGUGCCCCGUCCCCUCCCCUGGCGGGGCACCCCAAGGGGCCGGGGGCACACCC